AGCAAUCUAAUGAGUCGUACUAGGAUUACUAGUAUAUCUAGUCAAUCUCGAUAUGACAUAGGCAAUGUCAGAUCUAAUCCUAUUCGGUAUAAAGAAGACUAACCUAAAAGUUGAGUUGAAAGGUUCACCCUCAAUCAUGUUGACUUGAGGUUUAGGAUAGUUGUUCUGAUUGUUCUAGUCUUCUUGUAGACAACUUUCUUCGAUAAAAACAUUUUGAAGCAAAAUAGUUGUUCCGGCCACAAACAUAACAUAAACCAUCCUUCUUAUUCCCACUAGAUUGGUUGGUAUUGAGCUUCUGCGUAUGGUUCCAAUUUCGGUUCCUACCCUCAAAAUCUUUACCCUUAGAUUUAAAAUUUCUACAUUUGGGUUUCAACUCAUGGCUUCGGUUCUGAAUCUCGGUCAGAUUUAUAUUAGAUAGGUUGCGAAUUGGUUUAAUGGUUUUAUAUUCUGAUCGCUUGAAUUACCAACUCUAGUUUAAGAGUUUCCUGAGUUCUUCUAACCUUUUGGGCAAAUCUAGACAAAAGAAAGGGGUAAUUUGUCUAGUAGGCAGGUAGCUUGAUAGAUAUCAUCUAAGGUUAAACCAUUCUUGGACAAAAUUCUGAAAUUGGUAGACCAGAUCAUUUAUAAGAAUGUUGUCUACCAUUCUAAAAAUAAAAUCAGUAAUGGUAAACCUAGCAGCACCUUCAAUUUUGUGAUGUAGGCAUCUUCUAGAGUAUUACCAUAAAUCUUUGAUAGUUUGGUAUUUCCUAUAAGUUUCAUAAAGUUCAUCAGAUAGGCAACUAAGUAUUCUAAACCUAUAGUGAAAUUUAAUUUCUCCGUGGAUUUACUACGUUCAAGUUCUGUAACUGAGAUAGCAAUAGAUUUAGAAGAAUCUGUAGAUUUAAAAAAAAAAAAAAAUCAGAGAGAGUUGCAGGAGUAGAAGAAAUUUUAGAAAUAGGAUAGGAAGGUGUUUUUCCAACUGCAGUUAUAAAGUCUAGGGAAAUAAGCCAGGUGUCAGGAAGUGAAUUCUCGAAAUGCGAAAAUUGGACUUCGAUUAGAAUCGACUGAUUGUCGAUUGGGUACGCUUCGGGAAGGCCGAAGACAUCAAGAAGGCCAAAAGUGCAUUGGAGAAGGCCUCCGAGAGCGACUUGUGAAAAUUCUGCAAAGUGCAAGAUUUUUGCUCUCGGGGACCGGUCCUUGGUGGGAGAGACCGGUCCCCGUAGCUUGGAAAGUGUGGCAGAAGGCUCUGCGCACAAAACUUGCUCUCGGGGACCGGUCCCUGACGGGGGAGACCGGUCCCCGUAGGUAUGUAAAUUGAGCAAGAGGCUGUCCUGCGAGAGUGUGCUCUCGGGGACCGGUCCCUCGUUGGAGAGACCGGUCCCCGUAAACGUGGGAAAGGGAGCAAGGGCCCUUUUCUAUAAAUAAGCCUCUCGGGGACCGGUCCCUCUUAGAGAGACCGGUCCCCGUAGCCUGAAUUUGCCCAAGAUGGGCUGUGCAUGGUUGGCAAAGUUGAGGGGCUUCUAUGCAUUUGUAGCAUAAGUAGAGGCUAUAUGAAAGAGUGUGCUCUCUUCUCAUUUUCUUCCCCAAACUCAACCCUAUCUCUCUCUCUCUAAACUCUCUUCCUCUCUCUCUAGAAGGUGAAGAAGAGAAUGGAUUUGGUGGAGGCGCAAACUAGGAGAAGGAUCUUCGUUGUCUUCUUCUUCCUCUUCACCCUUGGAGCUAGCUUUGGAGGUAAGCUUCUAAGCUCAACAAUGGUAGAUUUCUAGGGUUAGUUCCGUAUACUCUAGAAAUGGUUUUGUUGGAACCCUAUGAUGCUAAGUGGAUGAUUAAUGCAUGAAUCUAGGGUUUUGUUAGAGUAUUUUGCAAUAGUUGCAAGUUAGGGCUCCGAAAUGGGAUUUUGUGAUUUGUUGGGUAUUGAUCUAAAUUGAUCAAGUGUAAACCUAAUUACUAGGUGUUUAAACUUGUUGGCGAAGACGGUUCGACGAUUCGUCGAGCGGGUGAAAAAUUGUUGGCAAAAAGGACCUUCCGAGCUUCGUUUCCGCCUGGGAGGCCGAGACGACAUCGUAAAAUCGCCGAACUUCAUUCUUAGAGUCGUUACAACGCCAGAAGGUGGGUGGUGUCAUCCCGAAGCAACCGGGCUCCUCUUUAUGUCUUAGUGCAUUAUAACCUUACAUCUCUUUAUGUAUGCAUUGUAGGAUAAAUGUGCAUUUUCAUUUCCUUAUGCUUUCCUAGAUGAUAUCAUAGUGUGAGUUGAAUGCUUCAUAUAGUGAAUAGAUAAGGAUUGAGUCGAGACAUUGAAUCCUAUGGUGCUAAGAUAAGAGAUGGACUCGAUAAUUGAUAAAGACAUAACGAGUGGCAUGUAAAUAAUAAUGACAAAAGAACGAGUGGCAUAAAACUUAGUGUAAAGUGACACUUGACAUGUGAACUUAAGGAUAGGCGGAUUCCCUAGAGAUGAAUCAUUGAACAAGAACUUAGUGUAGUUAAACACUUGCAUAUGGACAUUGGGAUAGAUGGAUUCCCGAGUGACUGUCAACCCUAGUGGAUAGGGUAUCCUCGAGUUGAGAGGAUUGGAUCAUGCUCACUGUUUGUUCAGAGCUUGCGGUGGUCGCUCCACACAAGCAUGCGCUUCGAAGUUUGUCACACGAGGGAUAGCCUUAUGAGGUCCCGAGGAUAGCCUUAAUGGGGUCCCGCAAACGGUCUCGAGUUUGUUGAGCGAGUUGAGUUUCCUUACCAUGAGAUGCAUGUGAGUCGUGGGCGAACCUCAGGGUUGGCCAAGGAAUGGGUAAGUCAAGAGAGUUGAUGAACAAGUAAAUGGCAUUACUUCUUGGACAUAAUGGCAUGUUAGUUGAUUACCUAUCACAUUAUGCAUGCAUACAUUGAAUAUGAUUCGGGCAUAGUAGCAUAGCUUUCUUACUAUGUCGUUACUGUUUUCGCAUAUCUAUCUAUCUAUCUAUCUGCUUGUGCCCACUUGGACCUAGUGGGGAGAUCGGCGAAGUCGGCGGCCGAACCCACUGGGAACUAUGGACGAUAGUUCUCACCCCACUUUGUUGCAGGGCCGAGUACGAGCGCUCCGUGUGAGGAUCGCGGUAAGAGCUUAGCGCCCUCGCAUUAGUAGCUCUCCUACUGCAUUAGAGGUACCUACAUAUGUGAGAGUAGAUGAUGUAUAGGCUGUGAGAUGCAUUUUGGAGAGAAGAGAAUAAACUUGUUGUACCUAUAUUUUGGACGAACAAAAUGUGAAUCAAUUGUAUAAAUGGACAAAUCGUGAUGUAAUAGAUAGAACUCUCUCUUUUUGCACUUGUAUGUAUAUUUGUGUUACUUGCUCUUGUUGUUAAGCACUUGUGGUGCUUCUAUUGUCGUUGUAUGGAUCAUGUAUGUAUUGAAUUAUUCCCGGGCGAAUUCUUGUGCAUGAUCCCAUGCUUGAGCCUUGGGCGGACAGGGGAGGUGCUGUCCGUUCGCCGUCUGUUCGACGCGCCCGAACCGGACCAAUAGGUAGCGGUCUCGGGGCGUGACAGGUAAUUAUGGUAUCAGAGCAAGUAAAGAGAGGAAUCUAGGAUUGACCUAGAAGACCCUAGGAUGGAAACCUUAAGGCUAUAGGUGCGUAAGAGAGACGUGAACCUAUAACAGUGGCGGGAGUUGAUCGAUUGGGUCAGGAUUGGAGUGUGUUUCUAGUAGUGACUAGAAACGGAUUCAAGUGGUAUGAGUUCUCGACUCGCAGUGGUUGUGUUGGCGGCCGACAACAUGACACUAAGAGCCGGGAAUGAGUACACUUGUGUGCUUCCGCCUAAUUGCGAUGCCGAGUCGCGUUGUUCGUAAAUGCGAUGAGGUUUAGCGGGUUAGGGUGAUUAACCAAGUUGGUUGUGUUUCAGGAGCUGAUGUCCCCAAGGCGCUACACACGUAGGUCCGUUCCGGCACCGCCUCCUGAGGUGCCUGAGCAAGCUGGAUCUAGCGAAGUGCAAGAGUUACGGGCGCAAAUGACUGCGCUAGCCGGCGUGGUGCAGCGCCAAGAGAGUCGGUUCGAGCGGCUCCAAGAGCUUAUGGAGCGGCAGGUGGCGGCGGCUGCUGCGACGGCAACCGAAGGUCGUGAUCCGCCCGUCCCCUCGGCGCGCGUGCCUGAAGUGGCAGAGGGUGAGGGCAUAGCGGCAGUUCCGGUGGUGGCACAUUCCCCGCCGGCAAGUGUUCCUCCGGCGGCCUCAGGUUCGGCGACACCCGAUGCGGCGGCCAAGAAGGUGGAACGGGAGCAUGCGUUGGCGGCUCUCGUCAAGUUUAGGAAGUUCAACCCACCUAUUUUCAAGGGGGAAAAGGUGGAACCGUCGAUGGUGGAGUCGUGGGUUGACUCAGUAGAGACACUCUUUGAGGACCUGUCCACCUUGGAGAAGGAUAAGGUGUACCUCGCCACCCAUUGUCUCGAGAAGGCGGCGAAGGUGUGGUGGAAGCGGGUGAAGCGAGACCGGUCUUCCGACCUUCCGUCGAUGUUAUGGGAGGAGUUUAAAAAGACCAUGUUCGCAAACUACUUCCCCGACACUAUGAAACGGAAGCUGCAGGAGAAGUUUCGUAAGUUGAGACGGGGAUCGUUGAGUAGCGGACUAUGAACAGGAAUUCUCCCAUAUCAUAGACUCUGUCCCGGAUGUUGUUCGAGAUGACCGAGACCGAGCCGAUUGGUUCUUGCGAGGGCUUCGGCCGGGGAUAUAUAGGGCCGUGCAGCUAUUCAAGCUCACGACCUUUGCCGAGAUAUUUGACCGAGCAUUGUGGGCGGAGCACGGUGAUGCCCACGUGCGAGAAGAGCGCGAGCUGAUGGCCGAGUCGAAGGACAAUGGGAAGAAGCGUCAGGGCGGUGGUUCGGGGGGACAAUCUAGUUCCAAGAAGCCCCCGAAGUAUCCGCAAUCGCAAUCCAGAGGCCGUGGAGUGCCGCGGUGUGUCAUCUGUGGUGGAGACCACCCCGCGUCGCGUUGCCGUCAGCGGCAAGGAAAGUGCUUCAAGUGUGGGCAAGCGGGACACUUUGUCCGCGACUGUCCUGGGGGAGUCUUGCCUGCCCCGUCUGUCGCAUCGGCUCCAGCGACUCCGGCACAUUAUAGAGCCCACCGGCAACGGCAUUGGCUGGACGCGCGAUGGCGCCGCGUCAACCUGAGAUGACGCGAUCGGCCCCGAGCGGACGGGUAUUCGCCGCUCAAGCCGAGGAGCCUGUCGAAGCUGAGCGCCACGUUGUGGCAGGUAUGGUUUUAAUUAACGGAGUUCGUCCAGGGCUAUGUUUGAUACAGGUGCCACACAUUCAUUCAUCAGUAGAUCAUUUGCACAAAUGCAUGACAUUGGCAUUCAAUUAAGUAAGAGCACCUAGCGAGUAGAGGGCCCCGGGCGUGCGUUCGUUAUUCGCAAGGGAUGUCCGGCGUGUCCAAUUCAAGUGGGCAACUGGAUAAUGCCAAUUCGUAUGUUGAUGCUCAAGAGGUUGAAAGACUUCGACGUUAUACUGGACAUGGACUGGCUUUCGAAAUAUUACGCGUCUAUUGACUGCAGGCAUAGGGUGAUAACGUUUCGGGAGCCAGGAUAGGAGGAAUUCACAUACCGAGCGUGCAAGAGCUCAUGCUUCGCCGCGACGGUAUCUGCGACGAGAGCAAGGAAAUUGGUUAACAGCGGUUGCGUGGCUUACUUAGCGACCAUUGUGGAAAUGGAUCGAGUAGUUCCGGCACUCGAUGAGUUGUCGGUAGUUCGGGAGUUUCCGGACGUGUUUCCUACGGAGUUACCGGAGAUGCCGCCGAACCGAAAGAUCGAGUUUGUGAUAGACUUGAUCCCCGGAACGGCGCCGAUCUCAAAGGCCCCGUAUCGUAUGGCGCCGGCUGAACUAAAGGAGUUGAGGGCCCAACUGCAAGAUCUCCUCGACAAAAGGUUCAUCAGGCCGAGUGUAUCACCGUGGGGAGCCCCAAUAUUAUUUGUGCGGAAGAAAGACGGAUCGUUUCGACUCUACGUGGACUAUCGCAAGUUGAACAAGGUCACGAUCAAAAAUAAGUACCCACUGUCCCGAAUCGACGAUUUAUUUGAUCAACUACAGGGGUCGUGCAUGUACUCAAAGAUAGACCUAUUGUCCGGUUAUCAUCAGCUGAAGAUAAAGCGGGAGGAUGUGCAGAAGACCGCAUUCCGCACGCGGUACGGGCACUAUGAAUUCACGGUCAUGCCGUUUGGGCUCACGAACGCCCCGGCAGCAUUCAUAGACUUAAUAAACCGUGUCUUCAAUGGGUACUUGGACCGAUUUGUCGUGGUUUUUAUAGACGACAUUUUGGUCUAUUUUCGUAGCGACGAGGAGCAUGCCGAACAUCUAAGGCUAGUGCUUCAAAUCCUUCGGGAGGAGUUGUAUGCGAAGCUAAAGAAGUGCGACUUUUGGCUCCGGGAGGUCACAUUUCUGGGGCAUGUUAUUUCCGAGGGUGGUAUCUCUGUUGACCCUAGAAAAGUUGAGGCGAUUAAAGAUUGGCCGCGCCCGACUAAUGUCACGGAGGUUCGAAGCUUCGUGGGCUUGGCGGGCUACUAUAGACGGUUUGUGGAGGGUUUCUCGAAGAUCGUGAUUCCACUCACCCGUCUGACUCAGAAGGGCACCAAGUUUGUAUGGAGCGAGGAGUGCGACCGGAAUUUUUAAGAGUUGAAGGAGAAACUGACUUCGACUCCGGUACUUGCUUUACCGGUGCCAGAUGAGGACUUUGUGGUUUAUAGUGACACGUCUUAUUCGGGAUUGGGGUGUGUUCUGAUGCAAGACGGGAAGGUGAUCGCGUAUGCGUCCCGCUAGCUAAAGAGCUACGAGAAGAACUACCCUGUCCACAUCUUGGAGUUAGCCGCGGUGGUAUUUGUUCUCAAGUUGUGGAGGCAUUACUUGUACGGCACGCGUUGCGAAGUGUAUACUAACCACAAGAGUCUAAAAUAUUUGUUCACACAAAAAGAUCUGAACAUGCGACAACAGCGGUGAUUAGAGCUGCUGAAGGAUUAUGAUCUCGAUAUUCUCUACCACCCCGGGAAGGCAAAUGUAGUCGCUAACGCACUCAGUAGAAAGUCGGCGGAGAACCUCGCGAUGUAGGUCACGGAUUAGGAGCCCCUAUGGAAGGAAAUGGGACGGAUUGAUCUCGAGGUUGUAGCUCCCGAGAUUCCGGCUAUGUUGUCAACUCUCGUUGUCCAACCAACCCUGUUGGAGAGAAUUAAAGGGUUGCAACCUGCAGAUCCAACUCUCCAAAAGGUGCGGCGCGACAUCGAGAGUGGAUGCGGCGGCGAUUUCAGUGUAGACGCCGAGGGUGUGCUUCGGUUUCGGAACCAGUGGUGUGUACCAGACAAUGAAGAGAUUCGAAAGCUGAUUCUGAAAGAAGCACAUUGGUCGCCUUAUAGCAUCCACCCAAGAGACACCAAGAUGUAUCAAGAUCUAAAACAGCAUUACUGGUUGCCGGGAAUGAAAGUCGAUAUUGGACGCUAUAUGGCGGAGUGUCUGGUAUGCCAGCAAGUCAAAGCAGAGCGCCGAUUUCCAGCGGAAAAGCUGCAGAGCUUACCUAUCCCCGCUUGGAAAUAGGAGGAUAUGACCAUGGACUUCGUGGUCGGCUUGCCUCGUUCAUCGAGUGGCCACGAUGCAAUCUGGGUGAUUGUGGAUCGUUUGACGAAGUUGGCACACUUUUUGCCGAUCCACACGACUUGGGCAGGUGACGGGCUGGCGCAGGUAUACCUGGAUGAUAUUGUGAGGUUGCACGAGGUGCCGAAGUCGAUUGUAUCGGAUCGAGACCCCCGGUUCACUUCGCAUUUUUGGAAGAGCAUGUAAGAAGCGUUGGGCACACGGCUCGAUUUCAGCACCGCUUUUCAUCCUCAGACAGAUGGACAGUCAAAGAGGACUACAGAUUCUAGAGGAUAUGUUGCGAGCGUGUCAUUGACUAUAGGGGUGGUUGGAGUAACCACUUGCCAAUGGCCGAGUUCGCUUACAACAAUAGUUAUCAGGCUAGUGUAGGGAUGUCACCGUUCAAAGCUCUUUACGGGCGGAAGUGCCGAUCUCCUAUCCAUUGGAGUGAGGUAGGCGAACGUGCGGUAUGUUUUGCGAGAGGCGGAGGAGAAAGUCCGCCUUGCUCGCCAAAGAUUGCUCAUGACGCAAUCUAGACAAAAGAGUUACACAAAUAAGCACCGUAGAGAUUUGGAAUUCGUGGUGGGCGACCGCGUCUUCUUAAAGGUGUCGCCCACGAGAGGCGUGAAGCGGUUCGGAGUGCGGGGAAAAUUGAGUCCCCAAUAUAUUGGGCCGUACGAGGUGUUGGAGUGAAUUGGUGCAGUGGCUUAUCGGCUAGCGUUGCCGCCGAAGCUCGCCGAUGUUCACAAUGUCUUCCAUGUCUCCAACCUCCGCAAAUAUAUCCACGAUCCCGAGCAUGUAUUAUCAUAUGCACCGCCGGCAUUGCGCGAGGAUAUGAGCUACGAGGAGUUUCCAACGUUGAUUAUUGCUCGAGAAGUGCGAAAGUUGCGAAAUUCCCUACGUCAAGGUUCGGUGUACCAAUCAUGACGAUCGCGAAGCUACGUGGGAACUAGAGGACACAAUGAAAGCGCAACAUCCUCACUUAUUUGAGGAUUAAGAUGAGGUAUGAGUUAAGUUCAAGUUUUAGUUGAGAUUUGAGUUCGUUUCGAGGACGAAACUCUUUUAAAGGUUGGGAGGAUGUAAGGAAGUGAAUUCUCGAAAUGCGAACGUUGGACUUCGAUUAGAAUCGACUGAUUGUCGAUUGAGUACGCUUCGGGAAGGCUGAAGACAUCAAGAAGGCCAAAAGUGCAUUGGAGAAGGCCUCCGAGAGCAAGUUGUGAAAAUUCUGCAAAGUGCAGGAUUUUUGCUCUCGGGGCAGGUCCCUGGUGGGAGAGACCGGUCCCCGUAGCUUGGAAAGUGUGGCAGAAGGCUCUGCGCACAAAACUUGCUCUCGGGGACCGGUCCCUGACGGGGGAGACCGGUCCCCGUAGGUAUGUAAAUUGAGCAAGGGGCUGUCCUGCGAGAGUGCUCUCGGGGACCGAUCCCUCGUUAGAGAGACCGGUCCCCGUAAGCGUGGGAAAGGGAGCAAGGGCCCUUUUCUGUAAAUAAGCCACUCUCGGGGACCGGUCCCUCUUAGAGAGACCGGUCCCCGUAGCCCGAAUUUGCCCAAGAUGGGCUGUGCAUGGUUGGCAAAGUUGAGGGGCUUUUAUGCAUUUGUAGAAUAAGUGGAGGCUAUAUGAGAGAGUGUGCUCGCUCUUCUCAUUUUCUUCCCCAAACUCAACCCUAACUCUCUCUCUCUCUCUCUCUCUCUCUCUAAACUCUCUUCCUCUCUCUAGAAGGUGAAGAAGAGAAGGGAUUUGGUGGAGCAAGCUAGGAGAAGGAUCUUCAUUGUCUUCUUCUUCCUCUUUACCCUUGGAGCUAGCUUUAGAGGUAAGCUUCUAAGCUCAACAAUGGUAGAUUUCUAGGGUUAGUUCCGUAUACUCUAGAAAUGGUUUUGUUGGAACCCUAUGAUGCUAAGUGGAUGAUUAAUGCAUGAAUCUAGGGUUUUGUUGGAGUAUUUUGCAAUAGUUGCAAGUUAGGGCUCCGAAAUGGAGUUUUGUGAUUUGUUGGGUAUUGAUCUAAAUUGAUCAAGUGUAAACCUAAUUGCUAGGUGUUUAAACUUGUUGGCGAAGACGGUUCGACGAUUCGUCAAGCGGGUGAAAAAUUGUUAGCAAAAAGGACCUUCCGAGCUUCAUUUUCGCCUGGGAGGCCGAGACGACAUCGUAAAAUCGCCGAACUUCAUUCUUAGAGUCGUGACAAUGCCAGAAGGUGGUGUCAUCCCGAAGCAACCGGGCUUCUCUUUAUGUCUUAGUGCAUUAUAACCUUACAUCUCUUCAUGUAUGCAUUGUAGGAUAAAUGUGCAUUUUCAUUUCCUUAUGCUUUCCUAGAUGAUAUCAUAGUGUGAGUUGAAUGCUUGAUAUAGUGAAUAGAUAAGGAUUGGGUCGAGACAUUGAAUCAUAUGGUGCUAAGAUAAGAGAUGAACUCGAUAAUUGAUAAAGACAUAACGAGUGGCAUGUAAAUAACAAUGACAAAAGAACGAGUGGCAUAAAACUUAGUAUAAAGUGACACUUGACAUGUGAACUUAGGGAUAGGCGGAUUCCCUAGAGAUGAAUCAUUGAACAAGAACUUAGUAUAGUUAAACACUUGCAUAUGGACAUUGGGAUAGGUGGAUUCCCGAGUGACUGUCAACCCUAGUGGAUAGGGUAUCCUCGAGUUGAGGAUUGGAUCAUGCUCACUGUCUGUUCAGAGCUUGCGGUGGUCGCUCCACACAAGCAUGCGCUCCGGAGUUUGUCACACGAGGGAUAGCCUUAUGGGGUCCCAAGGAUAACCUUAUGGGUCCCGCAGACGGUCUCGGAUUUGUUGAGCGAGUUGAGUUUCCUUACCAUGAGAUGCAUGUGAGUCGUGGGCGAACCUCAGGGUUGGCCAAGGAUUGGGUUAAGUCAAGAGAGUUGAUGAACAAGUAAAUGGCAUUACUUCUUGGACAUAGUGGCAUGUUAGUUGAUUACCUAUCACAUUGUGCAUGCAUACAUUGAAUAUGAUUCGGGCAUAGUAGCAUAGCUUUCUUACUAUGUCGUUACUGUUUUCGCAUAUCUAUCUAUCUAUCUGCUUGUGCCCACUUGGACCUAGUGGGGAGAUCGACGGAGUCGACGGCCGAACCCACUGGGAACUAUGGACGAUAGUUCUCACCCCAUUUUGUUGCAAGGCCGAGUACGAGCGCUUCGGGUGAGGAUCCCGGUAAGAGCUUAGCGCCGUCACAUUAGUAGCUCUCCUACUGCAUUAGAGGUACCUACAUAUGUGACAGUAGAUGAUGUAUAGGCUGUGAGAUGCAUUUUGGAGAGAUGAGAAUGAACUUGUUGGACCUAUAUUUUGGACGAACAAAAUGUAAAUCAAUUCUAUAAAUGGACAAAUCGAACUCUCUUUUUGCACUUGUAUGUAUACUUGUGUUACUUGCUCUUGUUGUUAAGCACUUGUGGUACUUCUAUUGUCGUUAUAUGGAUCAUGUAUGUAUUGAAUUGUUCCUGGGCGAAUUCUUGUGCAUGAUCCCGUGCUUGAGCCUUGGGCGGACAGAGGAGGUGCUGUUCGCUCGGCAUCUAUUCGACGCGCCCGAAUCGGACCAAUAGGUAGCGGUCUCAGGGCGUGACACCAGGCCUCUAACUAUUCUUGCCACCUCACAAAGCCUAUCUCUCUAAACUUUUUAGGCUUCGGGCUUAAGACUAGAAGUGUCCUCAAAGACUAUUUUAGAUAAUCAACCCACAGCCUUCUCCUAUCAAUCUGACUAUUAGAUGUAUACACAAAAGUGUAAAUCAAAUCUUUAUUCAGCUUCAUACUUUCUAUAGCAGCCAAGAGUUAACAUCUGGUCAGUCUUUUCGAUAACUCUGACUGUUGUUAGGAUAUUUGGAUCCCGCAGCACUCAGAUUCUCACUUGCUUCGUGUUGUCAUUCUAUUGGGAGGCUCGUUACUUCAACUAGUCCCCAUGUUCUUCGAAUGGAUCUCUUAGUUGUUGAGAGGGUUGCCCAAAAGCGGUAUAUAAGGCGUACCCAGUAAAGCUUACAAGUAAACCAGAUAUGGAGAUGGCGACUAGGGUUGCUGUUUC
rnacentral:lncRNA from 1 species